CUUUCCCUACGGGGGGCAGCAGUGAGGAAUAUUGGUCAAUGGGCGGGAGCCUGAACCAGCCAAGUCGCGUGAAGGAAGAAGGUACUUAGUAUUGUAAACUUCUUUUGUCGGGGAACAAAGGCGGAGACGCGUCUCCGGAUGAGUGUACCCGAAGAAAAAGCAUCGGCUAACUCCGUGCCAGCAGCCGCGGUAAUACGGAGGAUGCGAGCGUUAUCCGGAUUUAUUGGGUUUAAAGGGUGCGUAGGCGGGACGGUAAGUCAGCGGUAAAAAUGCGGAGCUCAACUCCGUCGAGCCGUUGAAACUGC
rnacentral:rRNA from 1 species